rnacentral:rRNA from 1 species
CGGGUGAGUAAUGCCUAGGAAUCUGCCUGGUAGUGGGGGACAACGUUUCGAAAGGAACGCUAAUACCGCAUACGCCCUACGGGAGAAAGCAGGGGACCUUCGGGCCUUGCGCUAUCAGAUGAGCCUAGGUCGGAUUAGCUAGUUGGUGAGGUAAUGGCUCACCAAGGCGGCGAUCCGUAACUGGUCUGAGAGGAUGAUCAGUCACACUGGAACUGAGACACGGUCCAGACUCCUACGGGAGGCAGCAGAG